AUCCAGCUGACGAGUCCUAAAUAGGAUGGGACAUAUGUACUGGAU
rfam:Schistosoma mattheei strain Denwood, Zambia genome assembly, scaffold: SMTD_scaffold0002524